GAGUCAUUGGGACUCUGUUAAACCUAAAGGCGCAAUGAAAGUAAAGGUCCGCCUCGCGCGGACCGAGGGAGGAUGGGCCCGUCUCCGGACGGGCCCCGCACUCCCGGGGCGUCUCGUCCUCAUCGCGAGGAGAGGCGCACCCAGAGCGUACACGCUGGGACCCGAAAGAUGGUGAACUAUGCCUGGUCAGGACGAAGUCAGGGGAAACCCUGAUGGAGGUCCGUAGCGAUUCUGACGUGCAAAUCGAUCGUCGGAACUGGGUAUAGG
rnacentral:rRNA from 2 species